CACACAAACACCUGGAGAUUAAACGCCUCCCUCCCCACUUGGAUUCCCAGGCCUCCUGCUCCUCUCGUCUGCACAUGAUCAUCCAGGGCAACACCUGAAGGAAUCGAGCAACGCCUGCACUGUGGUGUCUUCCAUUUUCUCCCUACGUAUCAGAAACUUGAUCGUCUGCCAGUGAGUAAUAAAUACAUUCUUUCAUGCA
rnacentral:lncRNA from 1 species